UCGGGAAUUUUGGGCAAUGGGGGAAACCCUGACCCAGCAACGCCGCGUGAAGGAUGAAGUAUUUCGGUAUGUAAACUUCGAAAGAAUAGGAAGAAUAAAUGACGGUACUAUUUAUAAGGUCCGGCUAACUACGUGCCAGCAGCCGCGGUAAUACGUAGGGACCAAGCGUUGUUCGGAUUUACUGGGCGUAAAGGGCGCGUAGGCGGCAUGACAAGUCACUUGUGAAAUCUCUGGGCUUAACCCAGAACGGCCAAGUGAUACUGUCGCGCUAGAGUGCAGAAGGGGCAAUCGGAAUUCUUGGCGUAGCGGUGAAAUGCGUAGAUAUCAAGAGGAACACCUGAGGUGAAGACGGGUUGCUGGGCUGACACUGACGCUGAGGCGCGAAAGCCAGGGGAGCAAACGGGAUUAGAUACCCACGUAGUCCCUGAGCGGGCUGGCAAGGCGCAU
rnacentral:rRNA from 1 species